AUUAAUAUACAGCAUUCAAAAGAUUUGGCUACUCAUUAGCCGUUUUACCAAAUAGUUUCCUUCAAAUGAUUUUUAUAAACAUUUUAUAUGCUUUAAACUACUUAUUACACUGUACUUCUUACUCGGCUUAUCAUACUUCAAACUUAUUUACAACUGUGUUUCAAACAAAGGUUUCUUUAUACUCAAAAACUGUUUUAUUAUACUUAUUCCUUCAAAUUGCUUUAUGGAUUGACAUCAAGUCGAUCUUCUCUUAAAAUAAUAUUCCUGUUUCAAAUGUUUUACAAAACUUACUUAUGCUUUUAUUUUAUUAUAAAUUGCAUGCCUCUAUAUGUAUAGUUAUAUAAGGAAUGUUUAAAAGACUUAGGAAGACUAUCCACCCUAUUUCCUUUUCGCGCCUUGAGAUGUGGUCUGGUGGGACAUUGGGUAUUCGUCCGAAGGUCGUUUAAAGAUUUGUUAUAUAUCAUGUGUACAUAUAUAGUCAUAAAGGGUCUUUCCAGUUCAUCCUAUGCCCUUGGGUAGUAAGGGUAUACAUCCACGUCCAUACGUACCACUUAGAAUACUAGUAAGCUACCAUAGGGGUAGUUCAGGAAGAUACUAGAACCAUUACUAGAACGCGAUAUCAUACAAUGAGUCAGUUCAUUCAUGAGUCAAUACUUUCUAGAACAUUACUAUACAUUACAUGUACAAUUAUACUAGGACGAGAACAUAUACAUCUAUACUAGAACGUUUACAAUUACUAUACUUGCUAGAUAGGGAGAACACACAUUCUAGCUAGCACACGUAGAACUUUACCGUACUCUACUAUAAUAUUUACAUUAUUAUACUUAUAGGAGUACUUGUGCAUAGAUAUAUCAGUAGGAGUCCUAUUACAUUUUAUAUGUAUCGACUCUGUUAUCAAAUCCGUGUUCUUACCUUUACCUUGUGAUAAAAUCACAUAAUCGACGAGAUAGAAUGGAUUAUUAUCCUAGUACCAAAGGAUACGUAUUGAGGGAUUGACCAUUCCUAGAAUCUCUGUUAGCUACAGAGGUAAAAGUACAUCCACGGAUGUCAAACGGUUGGUACCAUUACAGGUACGCAAUUAAGGGAUUGACUAUUCCUAUACCCAGCUGUUAGCAACAGAGGUAAGAGUACAUCUACGGAUGGCUUAAAGUUAACAAUGAUAGUUACCCUAGUACAAAAGGGUAAUAUUCAGAACAGUCAGGUCUUGGUAGAAGACUACAUUCAGAACAGUCAGGUCUUGGUAGAAGACUACAUUCAGAACAGUUAGGUCUUGGUAGAAGACUACAUUCAGAACAGUUAGGUCUUGGUAGAAGACUACACACAUAACAGUUAAGUCUUGGUAGAAGACUCCUUUUUGUUACUAAUAGGAAUCAUAGGGAUUUCUAGGGAUUUUCAAACAUUUUCAGUUGAGUUACAAACAUUUUCAUACUUAAAGUAGCUUUCUUUCAAAGCAAUGUCAAGUCUUAGAAAUUAUAAGUUUCACAAAUUAAGACACAUUAAUACUUAUGAUCUCACCAGCUUUAAAGCUGAUACUCGUUUUCAAAAUUACUUGUAUCCUCAGGUCAUCAUAGACAGGUACCGAUGCAAGGAGAAAGGAAGAUGAAGCUUAUUCAAGACUUAUCUUUCAUUUUGAUUUAUGCUUUAGUGUUUAUCAAAAUUUGACAGAAUACAAUUGUAUAAUAAUUAUUUUAUUAAUGCAAUGGAUGAUGUUGUUGCUUGUUUACUACUUUACAUUGUUGUUGAUAUUAAACAUGACGUCCUCC
rnacentral:lncRNA from 1 species